rnacentral:rRNA from 1 species
CCUACGGGUGGCUGCAGUGAGGAAUAUUGGUCAAUGGACGAGAGUCUGAACCAGCCAAGUAGCGUGAGGGAUGACUGCCCUAUGGGUUGUAACCUUCUUUUAUCAAGGAAUAAAACGCGGCCCGUGUGCCUUUUUGUAUGUACUUUAUGAAUAAGGCUCGGCUAACUCCGUGCCAGCAGCCGCGGUAAUACGGAGGAUCCGAGCGUUAUCCGGAUUUAUUGGGUUUAAAGGGAGCGUAGAUGGGUUGUUAAGUCAGCUGUGAAAGUUUGCGGCUCAACCGUAAAAUUGCAGUUGAUACUGGCAGGCUUGAGUACAGUUGAGGCAGGCGGAAUUCGUGGUGUAGCGGUGAAAUGCUUAGAUAUCACGAAGAACCCCGAUUGCGAAGGCAGCUUACUAAGCUGUGACUGACGCUGAUGCUCGAAAGCGUGGGUAUCAAACAGGAUUAGAUACCCCAGUAGUC